rnacentral:rRNA from 1 species
AUGUGUAUAUCGAAAAAUCAAGGAGGCAUGUGGUUUAGGGAUAUCCACUAUUUCAACCUCGCACUGUUAGCUAAAUAGGCCUGGCGACUGACUGACAAUCUAGAAUCUUUAUCUGUAGUAAUUUUAAAGGCAAAGUAUUUUCCGAAGGGAGACCUGAUGAAUGCUACUUUGAAAAGAAAAACAACAUUCACAUGGCAGAGUAUCAUGGCAGGAAUGGAGACAUUGAGGAGAAGAUAUAUUUGGGGAAUUGGGGGCGGUCAGAGCGUUAUCAUUUGGAAUAAUCCAUGGAUACCUUGGUCAGCCUCUAAAAAGGUCCUAACUGUCCAUGGGAAUAAUCUUAUUUCACGUCUAUCUGAUCUCAUACAUCCGGGUUCAAGAGACUGGGGUGAACAGUUCGUGAGGCAACAUUUUGGCUAA